rfam:Nitrosomonas europaea ATCC 19718, complete genome
CCUCUCGCCUUCCCUCCCUGAGGCGAGGCCUUACAAGCAAGGCGAUUCUCCCCGGCUCAAUCCCCUUUAGCCGGGGUUUUUUUU